GCCUGGCCCUAAAUCUUGAUGCUUCAUAUUACCUAAGCAUCCGCCCGGGAACUACGAGCACAAACGCUUAAAACCCUAAGGACUUGGCGU
rnacentral:rRNA from 1 species